UCGAACACCUUCGGUGCGCCUUCCCACCAUCGCCGAAAGGGAGAAGCGAGCGGAAUGGCAGCUCCAUCUGCAAGCAUCGCCGUCGCAAACGCUACCUGGGAGCAGAUCAAAUCCUCUCGCUCAGGUCUCACCCUUCCUCUCUCCCCUCCCCGUACUCCUUCCUUGGAGCCUCUCUCUCACCCUCUCUUUAUCCAUAACAAACGAACACAGUGUCCGACGACCACCUAUCCAUCCUGCACUUCUUAUUCGGGAAGAACUUGGAGCGCGCGACGAGGAUCGUCGACCAGGGCGGCGUCCGAAGGGUCUCCGGGGCUCCCAGCGGCCGUUCUCUCUUUCUGGUGGUAGGGGAAUCGAAGAGGAAGGAGGAGUACAUCUGCUUUCCCGAGAACCACUGCACCUGCUACUCUUUCUUCUAUGACAUCGUCAACUGGGGUGAACAGCUCUGUCAUCAAAUAGCAGCUCGGCUUGCUGAAGCCGUGGGUGCGCUUACGGAAGUGGAGGUGUCUGAUGAGCAGCUGGCGCUUAUGCUUGCGAAACUCUGACAGCUAUAAGCGUCUCAAAUCGUACAGGUAUUAAUUUCUUACUGCUGCUACUUGAGUCUUAGUUUUGAUUCAGUUUUUGGGUAUAGUUUGUGCAGAAGCAUCAACAAGAACUGUUGUGGAAAAUAUGUUGAAUGGUUCUUUCAGCUAUAAAGAUUUUUUCUUGCAUUUUCUGUUUAUUGGAGUCAUGGUUCAAAUGCAGUUAUCUCGUAUUUUAUUACAUCAAAUGUAUAGUUUGUUGUACGCAGCAAAUUCCAAUAUUUUGCAGGUAUAAGUUACAUAGAACGUUCUGCCGAUGCGAUAAUUCAAUUCUCAGUAAAGGGGGUUAACAAAGUCGAAUUUUUUUUUCCACAAUAUAUUGAAAAAUAAAGGAGUGGCGUAUCCUCGUGAUUUUAUUUUGGUGCUUGUUCUUUCCAAAAACCAUAUGCGCUGCAAUUUUGGAUGCUCAGAAUUUUAGGUGAACAAUGGAUAGCUGCUCUAGAAAACCAAACAUGAGAAUUUAUAUAGGCCUCUGCAACCCAAAAUCCUGGAUCCAUUAUGCAAGUUGUCCUUGAAAAUCCUAAACAUGCAGACAAAUAAAAAAUAAUAAUAGUGAUAAAAAAACAGUGAAGUGGCUAGACUCAUAGCUCCCCUGUACUACAUGAAUUACUAACAUGUUAGUGAUGCAUAACAAAAUGGAGAUUCUCAUGUUCAGGAAAUUCCAGCUGAAGGUCUAUUAGGAAUAGAAAAUCCCUUCUCUCUCAUUAGAAAAGCAGAAAUCUUCUUGCUUUAUCGUUGCAAUUUUUGCUUUCAAAGCCUUCGUCCAUUGUAAAUGCAUAAUGGCCAUCAGCAAGUUUGUAAAAUGUAGUAACAUUAGCACCCUUCUUAAAAGAACUCAUCCUUAAAAUCGUCCUCAAGCUCUAUUGACUUGGACAAUUUUGUACAAUGAGUCAGUAGAAUCUCCUUAUCUCCUUGAAAAUCGGCCAUGGAGCUAAGCAGGACAAAGAGUCCACUUUAAACACUUAGCUCCUCAUAAAAAAAAUUAAGAGAAUGGGAAAGAGGACAUAGCAUGGAGCUAGUUGUUGGAAUUCUUCAGAUUUUAUGUUUAAUUCCAAAUAUUCAGAGGCUCUAGCAACUUAGUCAUUUGUGAUGAUAGAUGACCGUAGAGGAAGGUAAGGUCCAUGGUUUAAGCAAAAGAGCAGUUAGGGAUAUUUUGGGAAGUGAAAAGCUGGGUUAUCAUGUAUACUAGUAAGAAGAGAAAUCCUUUAAUUGCUUCUAGCAGAGGAGCAAACUAAAGUACUUACUUAAUAUAAGCUCUGGGCUGCAAUCCUUCUUACUCUUUUAUCAUGAUUUUGCACGCUCCAUUGCACCUCAACCUUUCUGUUGUCAAGAAAAGCUACUAUUUGAACUCAGACAUUUCCUUUGCAUGUAUCGCCCCUAAGUCUCAACAAUUCUCCCAAAACUUGAGUGCCAACUUCAUUGAUGGUGCCCCUUGUGAAGUGAGGUAGCUUUACUUUCAUCUUCCCACAAACAACUUGCUAAUUAUCUUAUUAGAUGUAACAUUCUGAAAGUGAAGCAAAUGUUUUACUUGUUUAUUGCAUUCGUCUAAUCAGUUUGAAGUGGAACCAGUUGUAUGACCUAUUAAUUUCCAUGUAUAAUUUCAUUUAGCUAAGCAAAUAUUGGAUAUCUGUAGACAUCCUACUGCUGUUCUUUUCCCAUGUAGGAUAACUUUAAGGAUUGUGAAGGAUAAGCAUUGAAAUAAACCUUUAGGAAACCUAAUAGAAAAAGACAGUUGUUGAAGGGACCUUAAAGGCAAUGUUUGGAUGUCUGGGUAUGUCAAAGAUGUAUAUGACCAUUUCAAUGGGAAAUAGCUGGAGGGGGGCAGUCUUACUCUUACGAGAAAAGGGGGGAUGAUGGGAGAAAACAGGAAGGUCAUGUAAAAUGGAUAUGACCUAACUUUAAAUAUGUGUCAUUCUGUGAAUCAUGUUAUAAUGGUUAUGGUAUCUUAUAUAUGGAUAAACUUGGAGAGUACCUGUCAAACAAAAGUUCACGCACUCUUUUUGUCUCUCUCUCUCUAUGUUUUUAUGUGAGCUGGAAUCAUCAACAAUGAUAUUAUUUAAACACUCUAAAUCUCAAAUUUAGGACUUUUGAAUGUAUGGAAGAUUAUUUGAAAUAACCUUUUUGUUGUGUAAUUUGGAUGUUGUAUGUUUUAUGUUUUUUAAUUUCCCCCUUGUUGCAUGUGAAUUCAAAUUACAGUUUUCUUUACCACUAGCUUUUGUAAAUGGCUAUGGAUCACCGAACCUUUGUCUUGUGCAUCCUUUGACUCAAAAAUCAAGUUAUGGGAUGCGGAACUAGGAAGGCCUCUGUACAGUUUGAAUGCUCACAGGCUUCCUGUAUAUUCUGUUGCAUUUAGCCUAAACGGUGAGUGUUUACUUCCUGGCUCAGUUAGAUCAAUGUGUACAUAUAUGGUCCCUGAAAGAAAGGGGAAGGCUGUGAAGACUUACAGUGGGGAAGUGAAAUUUUGUGAAGUGUGUUUGAACCAAAAAGGUGAUAAAGUAGCAGCCUGUUUCUCCAACAAUACUGUAUAUGUGUUGGAUUUUAGAAUGUAUAUAUUCAUUAAAAUUCUCAAUCAACCGAGGUAGCAGGCACAUUUCAUUGUACCCUUAGUGUUGGAGAGACAAAAAUGGAUUGUUCAUGCCCCAACCUAGAAUGACAUUCAAAAAAAAAAAGCAUUGCUCUU